rnacentral:rRNA from 1 species
UACGUAGGGUGCAAGCGUUAAUCGGAAUUACUGGGCGUAAAGCGCGUGUAGGCGGCAGCGUGUGUCGGGCGUGAAAUCCCAUGGCUCAACCAUGGAAGUGCACCCGAAACUGCGCAGCUAGAGUCCUGGAGAGGAAGGUGGAAUACUUGGUGUAGAGGUGAAAUUCGUAGAUAUCAAGUGGAACACCGGUGGCGAAGGCGGCCUUCUGGACAGUGACUGACGCUGAGACGCGAAAGCGUGGGGAGCAAACAGG